GAUCCUGGCUCAGGAUGAACGCUAGCGGCAGGCUAAUACAUGCAAGUCGAACGGGAUUCAGGUAGCAAUACUUGAUGAGAGUGGCGCACGGGUGCGUAACACGUAUGCAACCUACCUUUAACUGGUGAAUAGCCCCGGGAAAUCGGGAUUAAUACACCAUAACAUUACAAGAGGGCAUCCUCUAAUAAUUAAAGAACUUCGGUUAAAGAUGGGCAUGCGGGACAUUAGCUAGUUGGUGAGGUAACGGCUCACCAAGGCAACGAUGUCUAGGGGUCCUGAGAGGGUUAUCCCCCACACUGGUACUGAGACACGGACCAGACUCCUACGGGAGGCAGCAGUAAGGAAUAUUGGUCAAUGGGCGCAAGCCUGAACCAGCCAUGCCGCGUGAAAAGGAAGACGGCGCUAUGCGUUGUAAACUUCUUUUGUCAGGGAAUAAAUGUAGGUACGUGUACUUACUUGAAGGUACCUGAAGAAUAAGCAUCGGCUAACUCCGUGCCAGCCGCUGC
rnacentral:rRNA from 1 species